UGGGUAAUAUAGUUACUGUAGUAGAGUUCUGCUUUUGCUAUUUUAUGUGAAAAUAUAAAAUAGAUGGUGAGUUGUGAUAAAGAAAAUAAUGAACUUAUAUGAAAUCAAAUCACUGAAUUCCUGUUUUAGUCAUCUGUUGUUCAACUGGAGCUGAUCCAGAUGUAUUAAUAAUUGAUCAAUAAGGUGUUAUAAUAUUGAUAAACAAGUCCUCACUACUAGAGGUUGAAACUCAUUCCGAUUGAUUCAACUUUAAAAUCAAAAUUGGAAAUUAUAAAAUUGAAGCGGGAAAUAUAAUUAUUGUAUAAUAAUUAUUGGAAAUUUUGUUCAGUAUCAGAUAAUUUUUUAAGAGUUAUCAACCGAAACAUGAUCUGCGAGACUUUUGAUAUGACAUCUACCCAUCUAUGUGUUUAUUAAACUAUAGGUUUACAAAAAGUAAAUUUGCAUAAUUAUAGAGAUUUUGAACCAGGAGCGAUGAUACGUAUUAGGCAUCAAAAAUAUUUGUGGAGCUGGGCAAGGGAAUUUAUGUCAAAAAGCAAAAAAGCUGUACCGGUAACUAGAAAAAAUAUUGAUAAACCAGAAGAUUGCACGAUCACAAAAGAGCCUCACCGUGACGUAUCAUGGCCCUUACAGAAAUUAAGAGCUUUCUUGUUGGAAGAGAUAACGUGUCAAAUUUGAUUUUCAAGGACGGGGUGUCCACUUAUUCACCCAACCUCCCUUCACUUCCACACCCUUCAAAGCUCAGUGACAAUUUUUAUUUUAGCAGAGAUGCAAUGCGUGAGGUUGUACCACCGACGAUAAUCGCCCCACAAGAAGAUGAUUCAGAUUGUGAAAGCACUCCUCGAACACCUGGUGAAGUCUAUGGUGAUACCUGUGUUCCAUGCUCUCAUAGAAAACCUGAAUUGUCUGGUGAUUAUAGGAAACCGUAUGUCAAGAUAAGAUGAGUUAAUGAUAUUAUUCUUCAUUCUACUCUUGUUGGAAGAAAAAUAUUUAGUAAUAAACAAUGAAAAUAGCAUUAAUGAUAUUGCAAGAAGUUAUAACAUUGUACCAAAAUGAUUAAAUAAAUUAAUCAAAGAGGAAGACAAA